AAAAUCUCAACGAUGGAUAUCUUGGCUCCCACUACGAUGAAGAACGCAGCGAAGUGCGAUAAGCAAUGCGAAUUGCAGAACCGUGAAUCAUUAGAAUUUUGAACGCAAAUGGCGCCAUUCGGCUCUCCGUUUGGCACACUUGUUUCAGUG
rnacentral:rRNA from 1 species